CAUAUCAUGCAGUCGAGCGAUGGAUUAGAGCUUGCUCUUAUGAAGUUAGCGGCGGACGGGUGAGUAACACGUGGGUAACCUGCCCAUAAGACUGGGAUAACUCCGGGAAACCGGGGCUAAUACCGGAUAACAUUUUGAACCGCAUGGUUCGAAAUUGAAAGGCGGCUUCGGCUGUCACUUAUGGAUGGACCCGCGUCGCAUUAGCUAGUUGGUGAGGUAACGGCUCACCAAGGCAACGAUGCGUAGCCGACCUGAAA
rnacentral:rRNA from 1 species